rnacentral:rRNA from 1 species
UGGGGAAUAUUGCACAAUGGGCGCAAGCCUGAUGCAGCAACGCCGCGUGAACGAUGAAGGUCUUCGGAUCGUAAAGUUCUGUUGCAGGGGAAGAUAAUGACGGUACUCUGUGAGGAAGCCCCGGCUAACUACGUGCCAGCAGCCGCGGUAAUACGUAGGGGGCUAGCGUUAUCCGGAUUUACUGGGCGUAAAGGGUGCGUAGGUGGUCCUUCAAGUCGGUGGUUAAAGGCUACGGCUCAACCGUAGUAAGCCGCCGAAACUGGAGGACUUGAGUGCAGGAGAGGAAAGUGGAAUUCCCAGUGUAGCGGUGAAAUGCGUAGAUAUUGGGAGGAACACCAGUAGCGAAGGCGGCUUUCUGGACUGCGACUGACACUGAGGCACGAAAGCGUGGGUAGCAAACAGG